AGUUCCUGCCGGGCAGGCUGGGUAGCCGGACUCCCAGCUGCGCCGUCUUCACGGAAGCGGUGCUGAUGCGGGACCUGGGGGACUGCGGUGCUGGGGACUGGCCAGUCCUACCGGGGGCGGGGCUUGUGGAAGACUGGGCGGGAUUUUGAAGACCUAGGUCUUGUGGAUGGUGAACUCACUUGGGGCGGGGAGGGAGGUGGGGCUACCCUGGGGUCUUGGGCAAAGUCCUCGCCUGGCCGGCUUCGCUACCCUUGUGCUUGCGUUGCCCACAAGCUUGUAGUCAGAAGAACUCGCCUGGGAGGGAUCGCUCCUGGGAGAUCCGAACGCGGGAGGGCCUGGAGCGCGGCGGCAGCUGGAUAGCAUUCGGGCCCAUCCGAAUAAGCGGAGCCUGGAUGGCCAUCUUUCUUCUGAUAGCAAUAAGCUGGAUGCUGGGAUAGAAGCCUGAUACCUCCUCCAACCCUAGUCCUUGGCCUCUAGUUUACUCGCCUGAGGCAAGGGUAGAGUGGAGGAAGAUUUAGGGAAAGCAAGUAGUCCGUUUUAUUGUUACGGACCAGAGAGGUUGGGGGUGCAGAUGAAACCAACAUCUGGUUGGCCGGGCACGGUGGCUCACACCUGUAAUCCCAGCACUUUGGGAGGCCGAGGCGGGCGGAUCAUGAAGUCAGGAGAUCGAGACCAUCCUAGCUAACACGGUGAAACCCCGUCUCUACUAAAAACACAAAAAAUUUGCCGGGCGUGGUGGCGGGAGCCUGUAGUCUCAGUUACUCAGGAGGCUGAGACAGGAGAAUGGCAUGAACCCGGGAGGCAGAGGUUGCAGUGAGCCGAGAUCGCGCCACUGCACUCCAGCCUGGGUGACAGAGCGAGACUCCAUCUCAAAAAAAAUAAAUAAAUAAAAAUAAAAAAAAUAAAAAAUAAAAAAUUCAUUUGCAGGAACAUUUUGUUGUCUUUAAUGCCUUAACAGCUCCUGAAAAAAAUCAUGUCAAAUGAUCAAUCCAUGUUAUUUUUUCAUGCACAUCAAAGUCACACAUUUAUUAAAUCAGCAAUAAAUUACAUUUCAUUGUGAAUUCAUAUUGACUUUAUACGUCUGUAGUAGACUUUAAACAGUCCUGCUAUCAAAGGCAUUAGCCCUUGCCGUUAUUUAAAAUGUAUCCUGGCCAGGCACUGUGGCUCACGCUUGUAAUCCCCACAUUUUGGGAUGUUGGGGUGGGCGGAUCACCUGAGGUUAGGCAUGCAAGCCCAGCCUGGCCAUAAUAGUGAAAUCCUGUCUCUACUAAAAAUACAAAAAUUAGCUGGGUGUGGUGGCAGGUGCCUGUAAUCCCAGCUACUCGGGAGGAUGAGGCAGGAGAAUUGCUUGAACCCAAGAGGUGGAAGUUUGCAGUAAGCCGAGAUUGUGCCAUUGCACUCCCGCCUGGGUGGCAGAGCAAGACUCUGUCUCAAAAAUAAAUAGAUAAAAUAUAUCCUGAGGGAAGAAGGGAAGUAGAAAAAAUAUAUACAUAUAUAUCUUGAAGGAUAAGGACAAAAUAUUG
rnacentral:lncRNA from 1 species